AUACGGAAGGUCCGGGCGUUAUCCGGAUUUAUUGGGUUCAAAGGGAGCGCAGGCGGAGAUGCAAGCGUGACGUCAAAUUUCGGGGCUCAACCCCGUCUCGCGUCGCGAACUGCGUCCCUUGGUUGCGGGAAGGGGAGGCGGAACUCGUGGUGUAGCGGUGAAAUGCAUAGAUAUCACGAAGAACUCCGAUCGCGAAGGCAGCCUUCCGGCCCGUCAACGACGCUCAUGCUCGAAGGUGCGGGUAUCAAACAGGAUUAGAUACCCUGGUAGUCCGCACAGUAAACGAUGGACACCCGCGGUUUGGCCUGUAUGGCUGAGCCGCCAAGCGAAAGCGUUAAGUGUCCCACCUGGGGAGUACGCCGGCAACGGUGAAACUCAAAUGAAUUGACGGGG
rnacentral:rRNA from 1 species